rnacentral:rRNA from 1 species
CUGGGUCCAACCUCCCACCCGUGUUUAUUGUACCUUGUUGCUUCGGUGCGCCCGCCUCACGGCCGCCGGGGGGCUUCUGCCCCCGGGUCCGCGCGCACCGGAGACACCAUUGAACUCUGUCUGAAGAUUGCAGUCUGAGCAUAAACUAAAUAAGUUAAAACUUUCAACAACGGAUCUCUUGGUUCCGGCAUCGAUGAAGAACGCAGCGAAAUGCGAUAACUAAUGUGAAUUGCAGAAUUCAGUGAAUCAUCGAGUCUUUGAACGCACAUUGCGCCCCCUGGUAUUCCGGGGGGCAUGCCUGUCCGAGCGUCAUUGCUGCCCUCAAGCACGGCUUGUGUGUUGGGCUCCGUCCCCCCGGGGACGGGCCCGAAAGGCAGCGGCGGCACCGAGUCCGGUCCUCGAGCGUAUGGGGCUUUGUCACCCGCUCUGUAGGCCCGGCCGGCGCCAGCCGACAACCCAUCAUCCUUUUCAGGUUGACCUCGGAUCAGGUAGGGAUACCCGCUGAACUUAAGCAUAUCAAUAAGCGGAGGAAAAGAAACCAACAGGGAUUACCUCAGUAACGGCGAGUGAAGCGGUAAGAGCUCAAAUUUGAAAGCUGGCUCCUUCGGGGUCCGCAAUUGUAAUUUGCAGAGGAUGUUUCGGGAGCAGCCCCCAUCUAAGUGUCCUGGAACGGACCGUCAUAGAGGGUGAGAAUCCCGUAUGGGAUGGGGUGUCUGCGCC